CAACAUGCUAAAAGGAUGGCUGCAAAAAACCAAGGCCAAUUACCAAAUGCCCAUGAUCUUUUCUUGAAGACACACUUCAAGGAAGUGCCUGGAAAAGGCCAAUUGGCUUCCAACAACAAAGCAAAAAGGAUUGCGGAGACCUACUAGAAGAAGCUCGAAGAAACAAGGAGUCAGGGGAUUCAGAAGAGUCCCAAUGAGUUGUACUGGGAGUCGGUGGGUGGGCGCAAUAAGAAGGGGCGUGUGAAGGGACUUGGCCAAAGUGCAGAGCUCUAAUAUGGCAAACAGAUGGGUCGAGGUUCCCGUUCUUCACAGCAAUACACGUCGUCUGUCAUUUCUCAAAUGCAAGACCAGAUGGAACACAGGGUGCAAGCUCUCCAAACUCAAAUGGAAGCCCGAAUGGCUGAAAUGGAGAGGAGAUACAAGGAGAGUUUCGAUGAGAUGAUGAGUCGUCUCACCAACAACGACUCAUGUUCCACCAUUCAUCCUCAGCAUCGAGACCCUAGGAACGACCCGGGUGGUGGUGGACAGGCCAGGGUUUCUAGGCGAUUGCGUAGCUUAGCUUUAGUCUAGCAUAUAAUCACUCUAACCUAGCUUUUGUUUGGUAUAGAUACCAAAAUGUGGACUAUCUUUUGUACUAGGACAUAAUUAUUAUAUAUAUAUGUACAUAAAUAUAAUUUCGUAGGUCGGUAAUUAAUUUUUUUAAAACAACAAUUUUAGGACUCAAUAUUUGUUUUUUUUUUGUCGAUUUAUCAUUUAAAAAAUUCAGGUUUGGAAAUGCAGAAAAUUACAAAAAUUUGUUUUGGGCUGGAAAUACAAUUUGCGACGGACAAUUUCGUCGUAAUGUACAUAUUUACGACGGGAAAAAUCCUCGCAAAA